rnacentral:lncRNA from 1 species
GGGAGAGCUAUUUCACAGAAUCAGCCAGCACCGGCACUUUACAGAGAAGCAAGCCAGCCAAGUAACAAAGCAGAUAGCCCUGGCUCUACAGCACUGUCACUUGCUAAACAUUGCGCACAGAGACCUCAAGCCUGAAAAUCUGCUUUUCAAGGAUAACUCUCUGGUGAGAACAACUGCUUUUCCUCAUUUGAUGCUGUCACUUUGUUUUGUUUUGUUCAGUUUCUGUUUUUUAAAGAUAGAGUCUGUCUAUCCCAGGCCAGCCUUGAACUUAUUCUGUAGCUGCAGAUGUCCUCGAUCUUCUGACCUCCUGCCUCCACCUCCUUUUGCGUGUUGGGAUUCCAGG